UCUGUUAGUGUGUGUGUGUGUGUGUGUGUGUGUGUGUGUGUGUGUGUGUGUGUGUGUGUGUGUGUGUGUGUGUGUGUGUGUGUGUGUGUGUGUGUGUGUGUGUGUGUGUGUGUGUGUGUGUGUGUGUGUGUUUUUUUGCAUGCACGUCUUUGUCAGUUUGCUGUGUGCUCUCGGCGCCUGUCAAAGCCAGUCUAAUAUUAGUGGCUCAUUGAUCGCUGGCUGUUUCUGGACGAAAAGAUGGUGAUAAAUGAGGAUAGCUCUCAAAACGCUAGCGAAAACGUAAAAGUGGUAGCAUCAGGCUUUUUUUAAGUGAGAGAAAGAGAGAAAACCGUCGGCACUGAGCCUUCAUUGCAGUCCAAACAGGAGAAGCCAAUACAAUGCACAGUCUGUGAGACAGCAGUCAAAGAGGAUUGGAGAUUAGUUGGCCGGAGCAGACGCGCCCAGAGAGGGAAAGAUGAAGAGAGAGUGAGCAGAGAGAAAUGAAGAGGGCAGUGUGGUCUAGGGAAUUUUUUCUCUCCCCGUCGUUGAAUUGGAACCUACAUUGUGUUGUACGUCGCCAGCCUCCCCUCAGCUAUAUUUGUCCCUCCCCCAUCAUCUCUCCCUCGCUCUCUCCCCCUCUCUUUCCGCUCUCCGUAUCAAAGCCUGGGGGAGCCAGUGGAGAUUAAAUGUAGCCUCUAUAAGCCAAGCACAUCAUGUAGCUAUGUUUCUAUGACCUGCUCUCUCUUUCUGCUCUCUCUCUCCUCUCAUUCUCUUUUUGAAGGAUAGUGUUAAUGAUGUCGGGCAUGUGUGAGGUAGUGAGGCAGUGAGAGAGAGAGAGACACGGAGAGGGAGGGAAAGUGAGAGAGACCGUAUGAGACAGAGAGGAAUACGUGCAAGAAGAAAAUCAAGGAAAACAGAGGAUUUGUUGACGGGAAACAGACUUGAAUAAAACACUGAAAAGGUGGAAAAGUGAGAGGCGGCCGACUUUCUCAUUCCCCCUCCUCAUCUCCCUCCUCCUCCUCCUCCUUAGCCUCCUCCUCCUCCUCCUUCUCCUCUCUUUCUGUCUCUGUCUCUAUCUGUCUCUCCGGCUGAUACAGCAGAGAAGUGGGCCUCUUGUUUUAAAUUAUUACAUCUGAGCAGGCAAAUUACUGGAUAAUAUUUCCACAUUUUUUGGGAAAAGUAUUUUUUCAUCUCCUGCCAUUCAGCAGGAAUGCAUGAAGACGAGAGCGGGAGACCUGGGAUUCACAGUUUUCUCUUUUCCCUUCUUCCAAUUUUGCAUGUGUUUCUGUUCUGCACUGAGAGAGAGAGAAAGAGAGAGAGAAGGAGGGGGGUGAAAUAAAAUUGAUCAAUGUUAGCGAGGGAAGCAGAACAGCAGCAACAUCCAUUGAUGCAUUUGGUCUUUUAAUUAGUUUGGAUAUUUUUGGGCUUUUGUGGCAUAUACGACAACAAACUGUUAAUUUUCUUCUAACCUGAACUGGAUAUGAAAUAGGGAUAUACAACUGAGUAAAGGCGGCAUAGGUUAACAGCAGCGAAACAAAGUGAGUGAACGUGUGUGUGUGUGUGUGUGUGUGUGUGUGUGUGUGUGUGUGUGUGUGUGUGUGUGUGUGUGUGUGUGUGUGUGUGUGUGUGCGUGUGCGUGUGCGUGUGCGUGUGCGUGUGUGUGUGCGUGUGCGUGUGUGUGUGUGUGUGUGUGUGUGUUCCUCCUCUCCUCUCUCUCAGUGAGCCAGCAGACUGGUAUGCUUCACUGGUGCUGUGGUCCUGGCUACAAGCGGUGGUAGGGCUCACUCUCAUCCUCUCUUCUCACUCCCUGUUCUCUCUCCUUUUUUCAUACCUGCUUUUUAUCACCAUCGCCAUCUUUUUAUUGUUAUUCUGAACUUUUCCGUUCACUGAAACCCCUGGGAGUAGCCUCUCGUUUUCUCCGAGUCAUUUCCCUCUCUCUUUCUGUCUGUACACGGUGGUUUCUUCAUCAGCCUCACCACCCAUCCUCUCUCCUCCUUCUCUUAUAUCUGUCCGUCGGUUCGCUUCGUCUCCCUGUCAUCGACCGACACAUUGCUCCCCACUCGUGCCACUUUCAUCCUGUAACCGUCUGUAAAGCCUGCAAGAUCUUGUCCGAAACCUUGUCGACAUGAGUUUAAACCUGAGUUAGUUUCUCUCUCUCUCUUUCUCUGUCGAGCAGGUUGCAACAAGGGACAAGUGCUGGUGCCUCCUCAUUACGAACCAGACCUGGACCCAGUCGGUAUCAGAUGUGGUGACCCCACUUGGUGACCCUGCCCGCCAGUGGGGAAAACAACCUGUGGUUACCAUGUUGGUUCACAGCAAAAACUUGACCUUUUUCAAAUGUAUUUUUCUUGCUGUCUGCUUGUUUUAGUCAAUUACAAAACAAAAUUUAAGAAAAGUACAACAUGUCUAAAGAUGACUUUUCAACAUUGCCUGCUCCCGAGCGUUCUCACUACUUAGAAAAACGUAAUAUUGUAUGUUGUAGGGGUUCCCUCCUGCCCCUUUUCAUGAUGGUGAUAGCAGCCAUGUGAGUGCUAGCUAGGUAGCGACCGGAACAUCAAGCGAGCCAAGACCAACAACACAAACAAAAGGACUAUACUAAACAAGUUAAAUGUCUUGCCUGUGAUGAAAUGUUUUCCACACACAUAGCUACGUAUAGUCUACUUGGAUACCGCGUCCCCACAUUUCCCACUCUCCCACUCUGGAUACCCUGAAGCCUGAAGUGUGUGUAUGUGCUGUGUGCAAGUGUUAAACUUCAAGAACAUUGACAAGAGGCAGUAGGUCUACUUAAACAUUGACAAGAGGCAGUAGGCCUACUUAAACAUUGACAAGAGGCAGUAGGUCUACUUAAACAUUGACAAGAGGCAGUAGGUCUACUUAAACAUUGACAAGAGGCAGUAGGUCUACUUAAACAUUGACAAGAGGCAGUAGGCCUACUUAAACAUUGACAAGAGGCAGUAGGCCUACUUAAACAUUGACAAGAGGCAGUAGGCCUACUUAAACAUUGACAAGAGGCAGUAGGCCUACUUAAACAUUGACAAGAGGCAGUAGGCCUACUUAAACAUUGACAAGAGGCAGUAGGCCUACUUAAACAUUGACAAGAGGCAGUAGGCCUACUUAAACAUUGACAAGAGGCAGUAGGCCUACUUAAACAUUGACAAGAGGCAGUAGGCCUACUUAAACAUUGGGAGCAUUAAUAGCUGUAUGUUACAGUGACUUUUGUGUUGUUUGUAGCGCCAUUAAAACAAUUCUGAUGCAGAUUAUUUUGUGUUUCUUUCCCAUACAAUCAAAACAUAGUAUGUAACUCAACGUAUAGGAAAACUGUUUAUUUAUGGCCAAAUAAGAGCUAAUUCUAAAAUUGCGAUUAAUCGCGAUUAAGGGAUGCCAUUGAUUAAGGGAUGCCAUUAAGUCGAUUCAUUAUUUUAAUUAUUUGACAGCCCUAGUUUUUGUUGUACCCUGGUGGGUUAGGGGAAGGGUUAACUGCAUUUAAACUGCAGUGAUUGAUGACCCAUUGACAGGGCAUUAUAACACUUCAACUUCAACUUUAAGAUAUGAAGAUAGACUAGAAAAAAACAAUGCCAAAAUAUCAAGUCAACCAUGUUGAUAUUGUUGAAAAUGUUGUUUUAAUAUAAUUUUGAGAUCGGAUAGGCCUACCCAUUUAGAUGAGAUGUUGCUACACUGAGUGUACAAAAUAUUAGGAACACCUGCUCUUUCCAUGACAUAGACUGACUAAGUAAAUCCAGGUGGAAGCUAUGAUCCCUUAUUGAUGUCACUUGUUAAAUCCUCUUCAAUCAGUGUAGAUGAAGGGGAGAAGACAGGUUAAAGAAAGAUUUGUAAGCUUUGAGACAAUUGAGACAUGGGUUGUGUAUGUGUGCCAUUCAGAGGGUGAAUGGGCAAGACAAAAGAUGUGAUUUUGAACGGGGUAUGGUAGUAGGUGCCAGGCACUCCGGUUUGAGUAUGUCAAAAAACUGCAAUGCUCCUGGGUUUUUCACGUUCAACAGUUUCCUAUGUGUAUCAAAAAUGGUGCACCACUCAAAGGACAUCCAGCCAACUUGACACAACUGUGGGAAGCAUUGGAGUCAACAUGGGCCAGCAUCCCUGUGGAACGCUUUCGACAUCUUGUAGAGUCCAUGCCCUGAUGAGUUGAGGCUGUUCUGAGGGCAAAAUUAGGUGCAACUCAAGAGUAGGAAGGUGUUCCUAAUGUUUUGUACACUCAGUGUAUACCAUAUUAGGCUUGGUUUAUCAGGUUCUAUGUGGGGGAGUUUUUAAAAUAUAUAUCUUACAGGAAACCACCUAUUUAUAAUGAUAUAAUUGUCUUUCACUUUUACAUGUAUACUUUUCAGAAUAUCUCACAUUGAUCAUGUACUGCAUGUAAACAAAACAAUUUACAAUUGCAUUUGCAAUGUUCCUAUUUUCCAACAAUAAAGAUUAUGAAACAUG